rnacentral:lncRNA from 13 species
CAAAAAGAACGCACGUAAAUGCGAAAUCAAUGAAGCCUACUGUUCUAAUGUAAUUUGCAAGCGAACAAAUCAAACAGCAAAGUCAAUUAACUAUGUUGCCGUACAUCUCAUAUUACGAUGUAACAAGUGCCCUGUAUGAUGAUCUCAGAUAUGAGGAUUAGUGAUACGCUGAUUUACUCAACCCUGUAGAGUGGUUUAGGGUCGGUCAUCAAAAGGAUACUUUAGCUACUUUACCUGAUUCAGAUGAACUCGUGGAUAUCAUCUGUUUGUCUCCAUGUCCAGCACAAAGGAAGGCACUCAAAGACAAAUGCUCCCUCCCUAAGGGCACUCCAGGAUUCAGCUAUCAACCAAUGCUCUGUGGGUUAUAAAAGUAAGGGCCAUUUUCUAUUCCAGCCUAGUUUAUUCUAUUAUUUUGCUGUUGUUUAUAUACAAUAGGUUAAACUAACAUCUAGUACACUGUAUUUAGUACAGGGACUACAGGAAACAGAGUUCACCCCCAUCCACAUCAAUGGUGCUGUUUUGGGGAAGUUCGAGAGCUUCACGUUCCUCAGUGUUUACACCACUACGGAAUUAACAUGGUCCAUACACCCACACAGUUGUGAAGGAACGACAGCACCUCAUCUCCCUCAGCAGACUGAAAAGAUUUGGCAUGGGCCCUCAGAUCCUCAAAAUAUUCUACAGAUCCACCAUUGAGGGCAUCUUUACUGGCUGCAUUACCGCUUGGUACGGCAACUGCAAGGCACCCGACCGCAAGACGCUAUACAGAGGGUUGUGAGUACGGCCAAGUACAUCACUGUGGCCGAGCUCCCUGCCAUCCAGGAACUCUAUAACAGGCGCUAUCAGAAGAAGGUCAUCACAAAUUGUCAAAGACUCCAGCCACCCAAGGCAUAGACCAGGGGUAUUCAACUCUUACCCUACGAGGUCUGGAGCCUUCUGGUUUUCUGUUCAACUUGAUAAUUAAUUUCACCCACCUGGUGUCCCAGGUAUAAAUCAGUCAUUGAUUAGAUGGGAACAAUGAACAAAUGCUGUGGAAUUGACUUUGAGGUCCAGAGAUGAGUUUGAGUGUCAUAGACUGUUCUCUGCAAUCGCACGGCAAGUCUGGAACCAACAGGACCCUGAACAGCUUCUAUCCCCAAGCCAUAAGACGCUAAACAAGACUGCUAAAUAGCUAAUAAAAUGGCUACCCAGACUACCUGCAUUGACCCCUAUACUGACUAUGCACACACACUAGACUCUACCCACACACUCACACAUACUUAACACUGACACCCUAACACACACAUAUAUGCACACCAUACAUACAUACAUACAUACAUACAUACUGACAACACACACACACACCGUACACUGCUGUUCCUGCCUAUCAUCUAUCCUGUUGCCUAGUCACAUUAUCCCUACCUACUGUGCAUAUGUACAUAGCUACCUCAAUUACUUCGUACUCCUGCACAUUGACUAGGUACUGGUACUCCCUGUAUAUAGCCUUGUUAUUACCUCGUACCCCUGCACAUUGACUAGGUACUGGUACUCCCUGUAUAUAGCCGUGUUAUUACCUCGUACCCCUGCACAUUGACUAGGUACUGGUACUCCCUGUAUAUAGCCUUGUUAUUACCUCGUACCCCUGCACAUUGACUAGGUACUGGUACUCCCUGUAUAUAGCCUUGUUAUUACCUCGUACCCCUGCACAUUGACUAGGUACUGGUACUCCCUGUAUAUAGCCGUGUUAUUACCUCGUACCCCUGCACAUUGACUAGGUACUGGUACUCCCUGUAUAUAGCCUUGUUAUUACCUCGUACCCCUGCACAUUGACUAGGUACUGGUACUCCCUGUAUAUAGCCUUGUUAUUUUGACUUUAUAUUGUUAUUCACUGUGUAUUUAUUCCUCAUGUCACUAUUUCUAUUUUUCUAUUACAUGUUCUAUCUUUAACUCUGCAUUGUUGAAAAUGAUCCAUAAGUAAGCAUUUCACUGUUAGUCUACACCUGUUGUUUACUAAGCAUGUGACAAAUAUAACUUGAUUUGAUAUAAAACAUUUGUUUUACACUCGGCAACUCUGGAGCAGUGAAUGGCCUCCAUAAUAUAGCUCUUUUUUGGGAGGGAAUGCUGUGUCUCUGUUCGCUCAUGGACGUCUUUGGCAUUUUCUCUGGCUGGAGUGAAAGAGCAGUGCCUCCAAGGCUGCCUUUCUCUCCUCCGUGGCACUUUGCUCCUUAAACAGAUCAUUGUGAAGGGACCUGUGUUACAUUGGUGUUAUUGUUAUUCUCUCCCUUGACUUUUUCCACAAGGCAGUUAGUGUCAAUAGUGUUAAUGUCAAGGGAUAUGAAACAUAUAUUGCAGUUCAGGGCGAACUAAACUGUCCUCCACUUUCAGUGGCUGAGCAUUCCACAGAAAAUACAUAGAGGGAGCAGUGAUGACAUGUUUUAUUGUCAAUAUUAAGCCAUGAAAAGCAAUUAUUAGAACACAAUAAAUGUGCCAUGAUGAUCAAGAAACAUUUUAAACCAUAAGCAUCUCUUGAUGAUUCAUUAUAAGCAAGACAAGAUUUUUAUAGUUUAACCCAAAAGAGGAGAUGCCUAGAGAAUAGAUCCUUCUCUAUUUAUAUAAUAUUUAUGUCUCAACACAAAGAUUGGUUCGAUGGAUGUGAAGGGAAUGUUUUUUCCAGUCGCAAAAUGUAAUGCAUAGUAAUAGACUUCACUAUUACUUGGCCAAUCUAUCAUUUUUGUUUUGUAAUUGAGCUGCAAACAUGACAUGAGCCAUUAAAGACACAACACUGUCAUCUACUGGUCAUAGUGAAAUACACUGACAUUAUAUCUGUGCCAUAAAUCAAGACUAAUCGACCUCCUGUCUUUUGAAAAGUAAUAUCUGUCUGGUUCUACAUUACAAGUGGUGAGAUCAUAUUUAGCAUUUUAUCUUAUUCAGACAACGCACUGUGUGCUUUAAGGCUGAAUCUGAUGGCUUCAUUACAAUGUAUUUAAUAAUCCACUGUCAAUAUUUACCAUUGCACAGUGGAGAAAAGGAAAAAUAGAUGUUCUGUGUAUUAAAGAGACCACCAGACAAUGGAUUGCAUACUCGUAUCAACCAUAAAAGAGACUCAUCUAUAGUCUACUGCUACUGUCUAUCAAGCAAAUACAG